rnacentral:tRNA from 1 species
GAAGUAGCUCAGCUUGGUAGAGCACUUGGUUUGGGACCAAGGGGUCGCAGGUUCGAAUCCUGUN